CGCGUAGGCGGCUAGAAAAGUCGGAUGUGAAAUUCCGGGGCUCAACCCCGGAGCUGCAUUUGAAACUCUCUAGCUAGAGUACAGUUAGGGUAAACGGAAUUCCACGUGUAGCGGUGAAAUGCGUAGAUAUGUGGAAGAACACCGGUGGUGAAGACGGUUUACUGGGCUGUAACUGACGCUGAGGCGCGAAAGCAUGGGGAGGCAAAACA
rnacentral:rRNA from 1 species